rnacentral:tRNA from 3 species
GGGGGAUUAGCUCAGCUGGGAGAGCGCCUGCUUUGCACGCAGGAGGCCAGCGGUUCGAGCCCGCUAUCCUCCA